CGCAGGGUCACGUGGCCCGUGACGCCAGCGUCAUCACCAUAACAACAAGAGAAUGCCGAUACGAAGGCACUGCUCCCCAUCCAGGGGCGUAUUGCCGCGCCCACUAGCUUUGUCCCGCCCCCCUAGCAUAACGAAUGCACACAGCUGAUGGCCAUCCUAUCUGAUCCAAGCCCCUGGGAGGUGCCGAGUUACACGACCCUCCCAGGUCCAUGUCCACCCUAUAAAUAGAGCUACUCUAUUACCAGUUCCCUCAGCACCCUGUGAGCUGAAGGGAGUAACGCUGACAUUUCAAUACCUCAAGUACGGUGAGUGUCAUUUUCACCUCACAUCUAUAGGAUAUUUUUUGCAACUAGCCUGACUUUACUCUAGCAUGUUUUUUUCAUCCACUAUGCAUACCUCAUCUUCAACCUAUAUAUGUCUGCUCUCCAGGCACUUGGCACCAGGUUCCUCUUCAUACACCCAGUUCGGGAUUCCCCCGAGCAACGAUAAGAGGACUGUCCGCAUUGGACUCAGUGAACCCCCUGACCUGCUGCACUUUUGCCUUAAUAAACCCCAUACUUGGGACACCGUGGGUUUGGGGUAAGUCGGAGCCAUCCCUCCCCUUUCUUUUCUUACUCAUGGGACCCCAUAAGUCGGUUCUGGAGAUAUCUUAGACUGAAACCUUGAGGGUCAACUUCCAAAACCUGUGCUCACCACAAACGGUAUGUUGAUCAUAUACAUCAUAUUAGAGGCAUCUCUAACAAUAGUUGUAAAAUAAUGGAUCUAUAUAUACCUGAUGAUAUGACAUAAUAUAAUGAUGUGUGUUUUGCCUUUAGAGAGAAAAAAA